ACGACGGCCUUCGGGUUGUAAACCUCUUUAGUAGGGAAGAAGCGACUGAAUUUAUUCUGAGUGACGGUACCUGCAGAAAAAGCACCGGCUAACUACGUGC
rnacentral:rRNA from 1 species